rnacentral:rRNA from 1 species
UACGAAGGGGGCAAGCGUUGUCCGGAAUCACUGGGCGUAAAGCGCGCGCAGGCGGCGAUCUACGUCUGGGGUGAAAGCCCGGAGCUCAACUCCGGGACUGCCUUGGAUACGGGAUCGCUUGAGGAUUGGAGAGGCAAGGGGAAUUCCACGUGUAGCGGUGAAAUGCGUAGAGAUGUGGAGGAACACCUGUGGCGAAGGCGCCUUGCUGGCCAAUUACUGACGCUGAGGCGCGAAAGCGUGGGGAGCAAACAGG